rnacentral:rRNA from 1 species
CCUACGGGAGGCAGCAGUGGGGAAUAUUGGACAAUGGGCGAAAGCCUGAUCCAGCAAUGCCGCGUGAGUGAUGAAGGCCUUAGGGUUGUAAAGCUCUUUUACCCGGGAUGAUAAUGACAGUACCGGGAGAAUAAGCUCCGGCUAACUCCGUGCCAGCAGCCGCGGUAAUACGGAGGGAGCUAGCGUUGUUCGGAAUUACUGGGCGUAAAGCGCACGUAGGCGGCUUUGUAAGUUAGAGGUGAAAGCCUGGAGCUCAACUCCAGAAUUGCCUUUAAGACUGCAUCGCUUGAAUCCAGGAGAGGUGAGUGGAAUUCCGAGUGUAGAGGUGAAAUUCGUAGAUAUUCGGAAGAACACCAGUGGCGAAGGCGGCUCACUGGACUGGUAUUGACGCUGAGGUGCGAAAGCGUGGGGAGGCAAACAGGAUUAGAUACCCUGGUAGUCCACGCCGUAAACGAUGAUAACUAGCUGUCUAGGGUUCGUUAGUAACGUUUGGUUGGCGCGNGCGUACGUCAUUAAGUUAUUCCGUCCGUGGGGNGGUACGGUCGCGAGAUUAAAACUUACGAAGAAGUUGACGG